GUAGUCCACGCCGUAAACGUUGGGCACUAGGUGUGGGGGGCCUUUUCCGGGUCUUCCGCGCCGUAGCUAACGCAUUAAGUGCCCCGCCUGGGGAGUACGGCCGCAAGGCUAAAACUCAAAGGAAUUGACGGGGGCCCGCACAAGCGGCGGAGCAUGCGGAUUAAUUCGAUGCAACGCGAAGAACCUUACCAAGGCUUGACAUGUGCCGGUCGGCUCCGGAGACGGGGUUUCCUCCUUGUGGGGCCGGUUCACAGGUGGUGCAUGGUUGUCGUCAGCUCGUGUCGUGAGAUGUUGGGUUAAGUCCCGCAACGAGCGCAACCCUUGUCCCGUGUUGCCAGCACGUUGUGGUGGGGACUCGCGGGAGACUGCCGGGGUCAACUCGGA
rnacentral:rRNA from 1 species